rnacentral:ncRNA from 1 species
CUCUGGAGAGAGAAAACGGUGUCAGGGAAAUAUCCCGGCAUUUUAUUUCCACCGAAGGAUGAAGCCCUGUGAUCAAACCCCGUUGUUUUUGAUCAUAAGGCGCACAAUCUCAGGUCAAGGGACAGAG